AGAAAACAAUUUCUCAACCAGCAAAUUUUGAAAUCCUGCAGAAGAAAGAUAAUGAUCAGGCAACGUAUGUUUGUCUUAUUGAGAAAUUCUACCCAGAAGUUAUUCGGGUGAGAUGGACCGACAGAGAAAAUAAGGAGGUAACAGACAACGUAGUGACAGGAAGCACUUGGAAGGCCACCACAGAGGAUGUAUACUCAAUUGCCAGCUGGCUAACUGUACCAGCAGAGAAGAAAGAUGAAAAUUACUACUGCAAAUAUGAGCAUGAAAGCCCAGAUCGUUCACUGUCAACACAAGGAGAUCCUACAGCCACUCCUGCCCAGGAAGAACACUGCAGCACAAUUUUUAAUACAGAUCACUUGGUGCACAGGACAGCAUCCUUGGUGUACAUCGUCCUCCUCCUGAAGAGCUCCAUGUACUAUCUCAUCGUGCUCUUCUUCAUCUACAGAGCGUGGGCUCCAGCCAAGCGCCAUGGAAAGAAAGCAUGA